rnacentral:tRNA from 1 species
AGCCGCAUAGCUUAACAGUAGAGCACUCACCCGAUAAGUGAGCCCGUGCAGGUGCGAAUCCUGCUGCGGCGACCA